rnacentral:lncRNA from 1 species
CGGCACUAACUCCCCCUGCGGGCCACAACCACCCAACGCCCCCACUCCGAUCCCAACCCCGCCACCCAAAAUGGCGGCCUCUGUGCUGACCUCACCUACCAGACGUGACGACACGAACUGAGCCACUGCAGGAAAAAGUCGACAAUCCGGAGACGUCAUAUUCCUGCGCAGACUGCACGGCCAUUGGAGGUCAUGGGGUCAAAGAGGGUGCAGAAAGGACGCGUUUUGUAUUUUCAUAUGCCCCGUGGAGACAUUUCUGCCAUAAGCAGAAAUUCCAGGUUACCCUGAAAUGCGCGCGCGCGCGCACUGAGCAGCCAUUGACCGAAGCUCAUGGAAUAGGCAGAAUAGCGCUCCCGAGGAAGCGCCAUAAUGGGACGGUGAGGAAUGGGGAGAGUACUGCGCUGCACAGCCGCCAUUACAAGAAGGUCAGAGGCAAUCGGUGGCAGUUGAAGGAAGGUCCUGAGAUGUGGGCGGAGGCGUGCCCCAGUGCGGGCAGAACCGCCACUGAAGAAGGAGAGGGCCUCCCUCGGCAGCUCGACAUAUCUAAUUGGGCUGGCGACACCGCCAUUUGGAGAAGUUCCUAUUAACUCUGGGUAGAUGAGAGAAUGGCCAGCCUUCCGGCAGAGACCAAAAGGAGCUGCCACCCUGAGACCAUCCAGGGAAAUGGAAACCAGACAGUUACCUGUGGAGUAAGAGCAAAUAGAAGUUUGCUAAAUAUUGAGGGAUGGCUGCAAAGACUCUUGUCAGCAUGAGGUGGGUCUCUGAGAACAGUCCUUUGCAUCUAUGUGAGGCAUGAUAAGCUUGGGGGAGUCCUUUGUCCCCUCUCAAGAAGCCUAUGGAGUCUUCCUGAAGUAUGAUAACUAUGUGAAGAGCAACUUAACUAACCAGACAUGCCUUAGUCCUCAACUCUCUUCCUUCUACAUCACUGGGUGAGCAUCCCUGGUCAUACCACUCUAGUCCUCCUCUCUACCAACUCUGGCUUGCUUCAGAGGAUGUGAACAGGGGGACCCGAGAGUAGCCCUUGGCCCGUGUGUCUGCUCACCAGGGUGCACCACUCAGGGCAGGUGGAGGGUCCAGGGCUGAUGUGCUCUGUCCUGGGUCCUGCUCCCUGAGGUCUGUGCUGGCCUCAUACCUGGACCCCGCAACCUGGGAGGCUCUUAUGGACUGUGAACAGUCAAAGGGUAGUAGGGAGCUGAGGGGCAGCUGGAGACCUGCGACCCCAAGCAGCAGAAAGGCAAGAUGCAGACGCUCUGUGGCUGCCUGUACCAUGACAUCAGCUAGGGCAGCAGUCACU